GAUGAAGAACGUAGCGAAAUGCGAUACGUAAUGUGAAUUGCAGAAUUCAGUGAAUCAUCGAGUCUUUGAACGCACAUUGCGCCCCCUGGUAUUCCGGGGGGCAUGCCUGUCCGAGCGUCAUUGCUGCCCUCAAGCACGGCUUGUGUGUUGGGCCUCCGUCCUCCUCCCGGGGGACGGGCCCGAAAGGCAGCGGCGGCACCGCGUCCGGUCCUCGAGCGUAUGGGGCUUCGUCACCCGCUCUUGUAGGCCCGGCCGGCGCUUGCCGACACAUCAAUCUUUUUUCCAGGUUGACCUCGGAUCCGGUUGGGAUACCCGCUGAACUUAAGCAUAUCAAUAAGCGGAGGA
rnacentral:misc_RNA from 1 species